rnacentral:ribozyme from 1 species
AAGAAGAAGAAGAAGAAAAAAACUCUUCUUAUGAAUCAUUAGAAGAAAUGAGUGAAUGUGUUAUUUCCUUGUUCGAAACUUAUUGUCUUUCUUUUCCAUGUUUCUUCUUCUUCUUUU